rnacentral:tRNA from 1 species
GGGGUGGUGGCUCAGAAGGGAGAGCAGCGGCCUUCAGAGCCGCGAGACGGGGGUUCGAUUCCCCUCCGCUCCACCA